AGUACUUCUUUGCAGGAGGAUUCAUUAGCUCUUCACUGGAGGUGCACUGAUACCUUUUCUGUUUCCUCCAGAAGUAGCUCACCCAGCAAAUCAGUGCAUCUGCACUCCCCAAAGAGCGAACAAUUAGUUUUGGAGGUUUUCGCUGCAGCAGCUCGGCCACAGAGGAUGGAUUUAUCAGAGAAACGAGCUUCUGCACAUGAUAUAUUUCCAUCAACUUGCAGAUUUCUUAUGAACGUCGCUCAGAGUCCAAAAAAGACUCGUCCAAACCGAGUAUAUGUCUUGACCCUGUACGGUCAGUAGGGCUGGGACAAUUCACCUAUCUACCGAUUCGAUACCGUCACGAUACUUGGGUGCCGAUUCGAUAUGUAUUGUGAUUUUUAAGUAUUGCGAUUCGAUAUUAUGAUUUAUUGUGAUUUUUGUUUUUUUUUGUCUUUUUUAACACUAGACCAUGGGG